AUUGAACGCUGGCGGCAGGCCUAACACAUGCAAGUCGAGCGGGGCGGCGGGCGGGCGAGUGAUGCCUAGGUAGCGGCCUGGCCGUGGGGGGUAACGACCUGAAAGGGGCGGUAAUUACGCAUACGAUCUGAUGAGCCUAGGCGGGUUUAGCUAGUUGGUGGGUUAAAGGCCUACCAAGGCGACGAUCCGUAACUGGUCUGAGAGGAUGAUCAGUCACACUGGAACUGAGACACGGUCCAGACUCCUACGGGAGGCAGCAGUGGGGAAUAUUGGACAAUGGGCGAAAGCCUGAUGCAGCCAUGCCGCGUGUAUGAAGAAGGCCUUCGGGUUGUAAAGUACUUUAAGUUGGGAGGCGUUACCAACAGAAUAAGCACCGGCUAACUCCGUGCCAGCAGCCGCGGUAAUAC
rnacentral:rRNA from 1 species